GCUUAACACAUGCAAGUCGAGGGGCAGCAUGGUCUUAGCUUGCUAAGGCCGAUGGCGACCGGCGCACGGGUGAGUAACACGUAUCCAACCUGCCGUCUACUCUUGGACAGCCUUCUGAAAGGAAGAUUAAUACAAGAUGGCAUCAUGAGUCCGCAUGUUCACAUGAUUAAAGGUAUUCCGGUAGACGAUGGGGAUGCGUUCCAUUAGAUAGUAGGCGGGGUAACGGCCCACCUAGUCUUCGAUGGAUAGGGGUUCUGAGAGGAAGGUCCCCCACAUUGGAACUGAGACACGGUCCAAACUCCUACGGGAGGCAGCAGUGAGGAAUAUUGGUCAAUGGGCGAGAGCCUGAACCAGCCAAGUAGCGUGAAGGAUGACUGCCCUAUGGGUUGUAAACUUCUUUUAUAAAGGAAUAAAGUCGGGUAUGGAUACCCGUUUGCAUGUACUUUAUGAAUAAGGAUCGGCUAACUCCGUGCCAGCAGCCGCGGUAAUACGGAGGAUCCGAGCGUUAUCCGGAUUUAUUGGGUUUAAAGGGAGCGUAGAUGGAUGUUUAAGUCAGUUGUGAAAGUUUGCGGCUCAACCGUAAAAUUGCAGUUGAUACUGGAUAUCUUGAGUGCAGUUGAGGCAGGCGGAAUUCGUGGUGUAGCGGUGAAAUGCUUAGAUAUCACGAAGAACUCCGAUUGCGAAGGCAGCCUGCUAAGCUGCAACUGACAUUGAGGCUCGAAAGUGUGGGUAUCAAACAGGAUUAGAUACCCUGGUAGUCCACACGGUAAACGAUGAAUACUCGCUGUUUGCGAUAUACAGCAAGCGGCCAAGCGAAAGCGUUAAGUAUUCCACCUGGGGAGUACGCCGGCAACGGUGAAACUCAAAGGAAUUGACGGGGGCCCGCACAAGCGGAGGAACAUGUGGUUUAAUUCGAUGAUACGCGAGGAACCUUACCCGGGCUUAAAUUGCAGAUGAAUUACGGUGAAAGCCGUAAGCCGCAAGGCAUCUGUGAAGGUGCUGCAUGGUUGUCGUCAGCUCGUGCCGUGAGGUGUCGGCUUAAGUGCCAUAACGAGCGCAACCCUUGUUGUCAGUUACUAACAGGUUCCGCUGAGGACUCUGACAAGACUGCCAUCGUAAGAUGUGAGGAAGGUGGGGAUGACGUCAAAUCAGCACGGCCCUUACGUCCGGGGCUACACACGUGUUACAAUGGGGGGUACAGAGGGCCGCUACCACGCGAGUGGAUGCCAAUCCCCAAAACCUCUCUCAGUUCGGACUGGAGUCUGCAACCCGACUCCACGAAGCUGGAUUCGCUAGUAAUCGCGCAUCAGCCACGGCGCGGUGAAUACGUUCCCGGGCCUUGUACACACCGCCCGUCAAGCCAUGGGAGCCGGGGGUACCUGAAGUGCGUAACCGCGAGGAGCGCCCUAGGGUAAAACUGGUGACUGGGGCUAAGUCAUAACAA
rnacentral:rRNA from 1 species